rnacentral:lncRNA from 1 species
AACCCCGAGGACAAACCAUCCCCCCAAAACAAAUUCAGCUUACCUCUAUUUUCAAUGGCUAGUACUAUAAUUAUAAGCCCAAGUCCUCCCAAAUUGCAGUUCAUAGGGCUUCCACUAGAUGUCAACAGUCUUUAGAAAUAGUUUCAUGCUGGUUUUUGAAAAAUGACCCAGAAAUUUUAGUUUUUCUAGGUGGCUCCCAUUUUGGCUUGUAGUGUUUCCAUGCGCAUGGACGAGUGCGCGUUCUUUUUGUUUAUCUCCGGUAAAGACAAUAAAGAUUCUCCGUCUUAAAUUUAUCGUUUAUUUGCAUAAUAGGAUACCUAAGGUUUGAUUAUAAACGUUGUUUGACUUGUUUGGAAAAGUUUAUUAGUAACGUUUGGGAUUCAUUUUGUAUGCAUCUUGAUGGAGGGAAACUGAGUGGAUUUUUGACUGAAGCGCGCCAGCUAAACUGAGUUUUUAUGGACAUAAAGACGGACAUUAUUGAACAAAAGGAUCAUUUGUGAUGUAACUGGGACAUUUUGGAGUGCCAACAGAAGAAGAUCAUCAAAGUGCAUGGAUUCAACAAGCUUUGGACGAAGGACUUCCAUAGGGACUUCCACAGGGCCGUCAUCUCCAGAAACAAAUAACUUCUGAAACUCAUCAGUCUAUUCUUGUUCUGAGAAAUGAAGGCUAUUCCAUGCGAGAAAUUGCCAAGAAACUGAAGUACAUUAGAGUGUCUAGUUUGAGAAACAGACGUCUCACAAGUCCUCAACUGGCAGUUUCAUUAAAUAGUACCCGCAAAACACCAGUCUCAAUACCAACAGUGAAGAGGUGACUCCGGGAUGCUGGCCUUCUAGGCAGAGUUCCUCUGUCCAGUGUCUGUGUUCUUUUGCCCAUCUUAAUCUUUUAUUUUUAUUGGCCUGUCUGAGAUAUGGCUUUUCUUUGCAACUCUGCCUAGAAGAGGAUCUUAGCCCUAUGACCAUGCCUCAGGACUACCUGGCCUGAUGACUCCUUGCUGUCCCCAGUCCACCUGGUCAUGCUGCUGCUCCAGUUUCAACUGUUCUGCCUGUGGCUAUGGAACCUUGACCUAUUCACUGGACGUGCUACCUUGUCCC